rnacentral:rRNA from 1 species
UACAUGGGGUGCAAACGUUGCUCGGAAUUAUUGGGCGUAAAGCGCGCGUAGGCGGUUACUCAAGUCGGAUGUGAAAGCCCUCGGCUUAACUGAGGAAGUGCACCCGAAACUGAGUAGCUAGAGUACCAAAGAGGGUCGCGGAAUUCCCGGUGUAGAGGUGAAAUUCGUAGAUAUCGGGAGGAACACCGGUGGCGAAGGCGGCGUUCUGGACUGUCUCUGACACUGAAGAACGAAAGCCAGGGGAGCAAACGGG